UACGGAAGGGGCAAGCGUUGUUCGGUAUCAUUGGGCGUAAAGGGCGCGUAGGCGGGUUUACAUGUCUGCUGUGAAAGCCCGGAGCUUACCCGCGGAGAGUCGGCGGAAACGGUAAGACUUGAGGGUUGGAGGGGUAGGUGGAAUUCCCGGUGUAGCGGUGAAAUGCGUAGAUACGGGGGAGAACACUUGUGGCGAAGGCGGACAGCUGGCCCAGUUCUGACGCUGAGGCGCGACAGCUUGGGGAGCAAACAGG
rnacentral:rRNA from 1 species